ACCCAUAACCCAAUUACCCAAGCCCCAAGCCAAUUUUCCUAAAUAAUAAAUCCCUAAAUUAACAGUGAAGUCUGAAAGUGAAACCUUCUUCUUUGAAACACCAAACACGUCCACCGCCACCGACCUACCCUCUAUCGUCGACCGUCGUCCGUCCGUCACGCCGCCAGUUGUCUCCGCCGCCACCAGCACUCGCCAGUCGUCGGUCGCCGCCCGCCGGCGUGCCACAGGCCCAUAGCCACCACUCUUAUUCAUCUCUCAACUCUCAUCUCUCGUUUUCAUCACUCAUGGCACAAACUGGAAGUAAGGGAAGUGAAAGUGGAGCUUCAAAUGAGAGCAUACCUUACACCUCAUCUCCCAAUGAGGUUGAAGUUGAUGUUGAUACUUCAAAGAAAAGAAAAACCAUGGAACCUAGACCUAAUUGUUGAAAGCAUUUUGAAAAGUUCACCGAUGAAAAUGGAGCUAGUAAAGCCAAAUGCAAGUAUUGUGCAAAAGUUUAUGCAGCUUCUACAUCAUCUAAUGGUACGUUAUCAAUGAAUACUCGUAUGAGAACAUGUCCUAAAUUUCCUCGUGUCACCGUAGAUAAAGGUCAAAAUCUAAUUAAUUUUCUACCAUCUUCAACGGGAGCAAAGGAAGGGGUCAUUAGCACUUGAAAAUUUGACCAAGCACAAAGUAGGAAAGCUUUAGCCAAAAUGAGAAUUAUUGACGAGCUACCAUUUAGUUUUGUUGAGAAAGAGGGUUUUAAAAACUUCAUGAGAGUUACAAUGCCACAAUUUCGUAUUCUUUCUCAUAGAAUUGUGACGAGAGAUUGUUAUGAACUAUACCUUGAAGAAAAAAGACUUUUGAAGAAGGUUUUCAAAGAAGCACGUCCAAGAGUUUGUCUUACAACAGAUACUUGGAUCUCUAUACAAAAAAUAAACUAGAUGUGUUUGACAACCCUUUUUAUAGAUAGAAAUUGGAUUUUGCAUAAAGAAUAAUAACUUUUUGUCCUAUUUCUUGUCAUAAGGGCGUGGAUAUGGCGGCUUGCAUUACUAAUUGCUUGCUUGAAUGGGGUUAGAAUAAUGUGUUUACUAUUACAGUUGAUAAUGCUAGCUCUAAUGAUGUUACUGUGAAAGAAAUGUCUUAAGAAUUGAGCAAUUGGAGAACUAACAUUAUGGAUGGUGACCAUCUUCAUGUGUGGUGUAUGGCACAUAUCCUUAAUCUUAUUGUGCAAGAUGGGUUGAAGGAAAUUGGUAAGUCUGUCAAGCUAGUGAGACAAGCCGUGAAAUACAUUAAACAAUCUCCCACAAUACUUAGAAAGUUUAAAGAAUGUUGUGAAUCUGAAUUGAUAACUUCUAUGAAAUCAUUAUGUUUAGAUGUUCCUACUUGGUGGAACUCUACAUAUUUCGAUGCUUGAUAUAGCACAACAUUUUGAGCUUGCAUUUGAAAGAUAUAGUUUUUAUGAUAUUGGAUACUUGAAUCAUUUUCGUACCUUUGGUUCUGAUUCUUCUGAAAACAAAGAUAGAACUAGUGUUGAAGAUGGAACUAGUGUUGAAGAUGAAUUUAGUGUUGAAGAUGGAACUACUGCAAAUAUUCUUUCAAGUGUUGACUGGAAAAAUGUGAGGUCAAUGGUGAAAUUUCUUGAAACUUUUAUGUACUUACUUUGAAGGUUUCUGGUUCUAAUUAUGUCACUAGCAAUACACACUUUGUUGAAAUUGCUGAACUUAAUCUUAUUUUGAAAGAGAUAAUGACAAAUGAAGAUCGUAAUUUGAAAGAAAUGGUGGAAAGUAUGAAUGAAAAUUUCAAAAAGUAUUUGGGUGAACCACAAAAUAUGAACAAGAUGAUCUUUAUUUCAUCUGUGUUGGAUCCCCGUAACAAGCUUGAUUAUGUUCCAUUUUCAAUUGUGGAUAUGUUUGGAAAAGAAGUUGGGGAAAAUCUAUGUUCAGAAGUGAAAAAAUACAUGAACAAACUGUUUGGGUAUUAUGUCAAGAAAUCCCCAAAAAGCUCUUUACAUGUACCAUAUUCACCCACUUCAUCUGACAAUUCAUCAAGUAUAUCUAGUGUGAGUGGUUGUGGCAACUUUGUAAAUAGAGGAAGAUUGAGAACAAAACAACAAUUUGAGAAGCAUAAAGAAGUUAGUGGAAGUUCAGCUAAUAAAUCAGAAAUGGAAAGAUAUCUUGCGGAAGAUAUUGAGUCAGAUAGUGAUGACUUUGAUAUAUUAAUGUGGUGGAAAGUUAAUGAGCCGAGAUUUCCUAUUCUCGCGGAGAUGGUUCGUGAUGUGCUAGCCAUUCCCAUUUCAAGUGUCGCAUCAGAAUGUGCAUUCAGCACUGGAGGUCGUGUUUUUGAUCCCUUUAGGAGUUCAUUAACUCCUAAAAUUGUGCAAUCGCUUAUUUGUGUUCAAGAUUGGCUUAGAAGUGAGUAUUUUUCAAUCAAUAUUGAGGAAGAUUUAGAGUAUCUUGAACAACUUGAACUUGAUUUUUGCUUGUAGUGGGACUGAAUCUAGUAUAAUUGAUAUAUAGUUGCAGCUUGUAAGUUCAACUAUCAACUAGUGAUGUGCAGUAACGAGUCCAUCAAUGUUUUGUCAUUUUCUUGGUUGCUAUCUGCUAGAACUUGGGAGCUAUUGCAAUGGAGGUUGCAAGUUGCAGCGAUGUUUUGUUGGUUUUCUAAAUCUCUUUAUUGCUGGAAGUUGCAAUGAUCUAGAUAAUGAUGACUUUAGUUUGUAACUAACUCUAUUUUAGUGAUGGAUACAAAUUUGUUGAACUUUCUAGUGUUGUUGUGAUGUUGUCUUGACUUUUCAUAGUUUUUUUUUAUUAUUAUCGAUUGAGUCGA